AAGAAUUUGGCGGCGUUUUAAAUAAUUGGAGGAACCUGUUUCUUAAUUGAUAAUCCACAUCAUAUCUUACCUUAUUUUUGUUUGUAUAUCGUUGUUUUAAGAUAAUGUAUAUUAACUAUAAUCAAAAUUAAAAGUUUUUAAAAAAUCAAAUCAAGGUGCAGCUUAAUAUGGAUGAAAUGGGUUACAAUAUAAAUUAUAUAUUACGGAUUUAAUUGAAAAUUAAUUUGAAGGUGGAUUCAAAAGUAAUUUAAAAUUAAGAAGUUUAUUUGAAUAAUAAUUUAAUG
rnacentral:rRNA from 1 species